AUUGAACGCUGGCGGCAUGCCUUACACAUGCAAGUCGAACGGUAACAGGUCUUCGGAUGCUGACGAGUGGCGAACGGGUGAGUAAUACAUCGGAACGUGCCUAGUAGUGGGGGAUAACUACUCGAAGGAGUGGCUAAUACCGCAUGAGAUCUACGGAUGAAAGCAGGGGAUCGCAAGACCUUGUGCUACUAGAGCGGCCGAUGGCAGAUUAGGUAGUUGGUGGGAUAAAAGCUUACCAAGCCGACGAUCUGUAGCGGGUCUGAGAGGACGAUCAGCCACACUGGGACUGAGAAACGGCCCAGACUCCUACGGGAGGCAGCAGUGGGGAAUUUUGGACAAGGGGCGCAAGCCUGAUCCAGCAAUGCCGCGUGCAGGAUGAAGGCCUUCGGGUUGUAAACUGCUUUUGUACGGAACGAAAAGCCCCGGGUUAAUACCCUGGGGUCAUGACGGUACCGUAAAAAUAAGCACCGGCUAACUACGUGCCAGCCGCCGCCGUAA
rnacentral:rRNA from 1 species